GCCGGGAUGGCUGAGUGGUUAAAGCGACGGCCUCGAGAUCCCAUCUGGAUAUUCGUCGAUUGACAUGACAGCCGUUGGGCGUCACGCCCUCGUGGGUUCGAAUCCCACUCCCGGCG
rfam:Archaeon 13_1_40CM_2_52_13 13_1_40cm_2_scaffold_10862, whole genome shotgun sequence.